UACGAAAAAGUCAAUGCGCGCGUAUCUGUCAAAUGUACGGUUAAAGGGUUAUUCCGCAUUUUUUGCCGAUCCGCACACAUUGGAAUUUCGCUAACUCCUCCGAAGGCUUUCGUUCCACCGGCACCACAUUUGCUCAGGCCAAUCUACACCCCAUGGCCAUUAAAAGUUAUUCAAAUCAUGACGCUGCACCCCACGGUUUAGGUUCUAGGGGGAGCCAAAGAUAACCCUAAGAUCCACAUAUUUAAAAGUCUUAUAACUUUUUAUUUUUGCCCUCACUGGCCUCCAAGUUUUCUAGGAUGAUGCAAUGUCCAGCCAUCAACACAUUUGUGAAGGAAUUUUUACUCGGCAAAAGAGCGCCCCCCCAUGGCAGGAGAAAAAAGUCAAUUUUUUCUUGUCCACUAAGGUGAAAAUACACAUUGUUGAGUGCUACGCCUUUAUGUUUUGUCGUAUUGACACAAAAUUUUACAUACACGUGUAUUUCAAUAAGAUCUUCGAAAAAGUCAAUGGCCACGUAUCUGUAAAAUGUACGGUUAAAGGGUUAUUUCGCAUUUUUUGCAGAUUCGCACACAUUGGAAUUUCGCUAAUUCCUCCGAAGGCUUUCGUUCCACCGGCACCACAUUUGCUCAGGCCAAUCUACACCCCAUGGCCAUUAAAAGUUAUUCAAAUCAUGACGCUGCACCCCACGGUUUAGGUUCUAGGGGGCGCCAAAUAUAACCCUAAAAUCCACAUAUUUAAAAGUCUUAUAACUUUUUAUUUUUGUCCUCACUGGCCUCCAUGUUUUCUAGGAUGAUGCAAUGUCCAGCCAUCAACACAUUUGUGAAGGAGUUUUUCUCUUUAAAAGAGCGCCCCCCCAUGGCAGGAGAAUAAAGUCAAGUUUUUCCUGUUCAUCAUUCAAUGGCUCAAACGCACUGCUCUUUCGGCAAAAGCGAAAGGAGGAGCAACUUGCCAUUUGGAUAUAUCUUAGCUGUGUUUGUGCCCUCACUCAUGGUCCAGACUUUUUUCAAAUAGGACAUGGAGUUUUUCUGCAGCGAGCGUUUUGGUAGAAACUGCGCCUCCCGUUCAUUAUAAUGGUAAAUGACCACAAACAAGUGCGCACACCAUCUUUGGACCUUGAGUGUGACGCGAUCGGGUGGGGGAGGCGGUCGCGCUGGGGGCGGCGUGACACGGCUCGGGCCCGCCAGUGCCCCAACGGGGCCCUAGUUAUUAUUUUUCCUCCCCUUUGAACUGGAAAAUGGCCCACUUCCCACUGGCGAAAACUCAUGAAAUUUGGCAGGACGACCGGGCCUGGUGAAAAAUUUGAUAUUCCGAAGUCGCCCAAACAAGAAAAUGCAAAAUGGCUCCAUAGCGCCCCCUAAGGUGAAAAUUCACACUAUUCACUGUCACGCCUGUACGCUUUGUCAAAAUGACACAAAAAUUGACACACACAUGUAUCUCAAUAAGAUCUACAAAAAAGUCAGUGCGGGCGUAUCUGUCAAAUGUACGGUUAAAGGGUUAUUUCGCAUUUUUUGCCGAUCCGCACACAUUGGAAUUUCGCUAACUCCUCCGAAGGCUUUCGUUCCACCGGCACCACAUUUGCUCAGGCCAAUCUACACCCCAUGGCCAUUAAAAGUUAUUCAAAUCAUGACGCUGCACCCCACGGUUUAGGUUCUAGGGGGCGCCAAAGAUAACCCUAAGAUCCACAUAUUUAAAAGUCUUAUAACUUUUUAUUUUUGCCCUCACUGGCCUCCAAGUUUUCUAGGAUGAUGCAAUGUCCAGCCAUCAACACAUUUGUGAAGGAAUUUUUACUCCCCAAAAGAGCGCCCCCCCAUGGCAGGAGAAAAAAGUCCAUUUUUUCUUGUCCCCUAAGGUGAAAAUACACAUUGUUGAGUGUAACACCUGUACGCUUUGGCAAAAUGACACAAAAAUUGACACACACAUGUAUCUCAAUACGAUCUACGAAAAAGUCAAUGCGCGCGUAUCUGUCAAAUGUAAGGUUAAAGGGUUAUUCCGCAUUUUUUGCCGAUCCGCACACAUUGGAAUUUCGCUAACUCCUCCGAAGGCUUUCGUUCCACCGGCACCACAUUUGCUCAGGCCAAUCUACACCCCAUGGCCAUUAAAAGUUAUUCAAAUCAUGACGCUGCACCCCACGGUUUAGGUUCUAGGGGGAGCCAAAGAUAACCGUAAAAUCCACAUAUUUAAAAGUCUUAUAACUUUUUAUUUUUGUCCCCACUGGCCUCCAAGUUUUCUAGGAUGAUGCAAUGUCCAGCCAUCAACACAUUUGUGAAGGAAUUUUUACUCGCCAAAAGAGCGCCCCCCCAUGGCAGGAGAAAAAAGUCAAUUUUUUCUUGUCCACUAAGGUGAAAAUACACAUUGUUGAGUGCUACGCCUGUAUGUUUUGUCGUAUUGACACAAAAUUUUACAUACACGUGUAUUUCAAUAAGAUCUUCGAAAAAGUCAAUGGCCACGUAUCUGUAAAAUGUACGGUUAAAGGGUUAUUUUGCAUUUUUUGCAGAUUCGCACACAUUGGAAUUUCGCUAAUUCCUCCGAAGGCUUUCGUUCCACCGGCACCACAUUUGCUCAGGCCAAUCUACACCCCAUGGCCAUUAAAAGUUAUUCAAAUCAUGACGCUGCACCCCACGGUUUAGGUUCUAGGGGGCGCCAAAGAUAACCCUAAAAUCCACAUAUUUAAAAGUCUUAUAACUUUUUAUUUUUGUCCUCACUGGCCUCCAUGUUUUCUAGGAUGAUGCAAUGUCCAGCCAUCAACACAUUUGUGAAGGAGUUUUUUCUCUUUAAAAGAGCGCCCCCCCAUGGCAGGAGAAUAAAGUCAAGUUUUUCCUGUUCAUCAUUCAAUGGCUCAAACGCACUGCUCUCUCGGCAAAAGCGAAAGGAGGAGCAACUUGCCAUUUGAAUAUAUCUUAGCUGUGUUUGUGCCCUCACUCAUGGUCCAGACUUUUUUCAAAUAGGACAUGGAGUUUUUCUGCAGCGAGCGUUUUGGUAGAAACUGCGCCUCCCGUUCAUUAUAAUGGUAAAUGACCACAAACAAGUGCGCACACCAUCUUUGGACCUUGAGUGUGACGCGAUCGGGUGGGGGAGGCGGUCGCGCUGGGGGCGGCGUGACACGGCUCGGGCCCGCCAGUGCCCCAACGGGGCCCUAGUUCUUCUUCUUCUUCUUAUUAUUUUUCUGCCCCUUUGAACUGGAAAAUGGCCCACUUCCCACUGGUGAAAACUCAUGAAAUUUGGCAGGACGACCGGGCCUGGUGAAAAAUUUGAUAUUCUGAAGUCACCCAAACAAUCAAAUGCAAAAUGGCUCCAUAGCGCCCCCUAAGGUGAAAAAUUCACAUGAUUGAGUGUCACGCCUGUACGCUUUGUCAAAAUGACACAAAAUUUGACACACACGUGUAUCUCAAUAAGAUCUACAAAAAAGUCAGUGCGGGCGUAUCUGUCAAAUGUACGUUUAAAGGGCUAUUUCGCAUUUUUUGCCGAUCCGCACACAUUGGAAUUUCGCUAACUCCUCCGAAGGCUUUCGUUCCACCGGCACCAAAUUUGCUCAGGCCAAUCUACACCCCAUGGCCAUUCAAAGUUGUACAAAUCAUGACGCUGCACCCCACGGUUUACGUUGUAGGGGGCGCUAAAGAUAACCCAAAAAUCCACAUUCUUACAAGUCUUAUAACUUUUUAUUUCUGUCCUCACUGGCCUCCAAGUUUUCUAGGAUGAUGCAAUGUCCAGCCAUCAACACAUUUGUGAAGGAAUUUUUACUCCCCAAAAGAGCGCCCCCCCAUGGCAGGAGAAAAAAGGCCAUUUUUUCUUGUCCUAUAAGGUGAAAAUACACAUUGUUGAGUGUCACGCCUGUACGCUUUGUCAUAUUGAAACAAAAUUUGAUAAUCACGUGUAUCUCAAUAAGAUCUACGAAAAAGUCAAUGCGCACGUGUCUGCAAAAUGUACGGUUAAAGGGCUAUUUCGCAUUUUUGGUUGAUUCGCACACAUUGGAAUGUGGCUAUCUCCUCCUAAGGCUUUCGUCCCACCGAUACCAAAUUUGCUCAGGCCAAUCUACACCCCAUGCCCAUUCAAAGUUGUAAAAAUCAUGACGCUGCACCCCACGGUUUACGUUGUAGGGGGCGCCAAAGAUGACCCAAAAAUCCACAUUCUUAAAAGUCAUUUUGGCCACUGCAGGAGUACAGAGUAAUGCAGUUCUAGGGGGCGCCAAAGAUGACCUAAAAAUCCACAUUCUUAAAAGUCUUUUUGGCCACUGCAGGAGUACAGAGUACUGCAGGAUACACACACACAUACACACACACACACACACACACACACACACACACACACACACACACACACACUCAGAGUCUGUUUUUUAGCACCUGCAAAAACAUGCUGUUUACAUAUUUGACAAGAAUGCAGAGGCUUCCUUUUGCCCCUGAAAAAAAUCAGAUUUCAAACACAACUUGACUGUUCAUUUCUCCAAAAGACAACCAUUAAGCUCCAUCCAAACCUGAAGCAGAUAGUUGGUGCAUGUGUACAGUAACCUGAGGAGAGUGAGGUGACUAUUUCUGAGGAGAACAUGAGCAGUGAAGAUUCACCUUGGAGCUAGAACAGGGACGUGCACAUGAUUAUACAGGGGCAGGGGCUCAAGUUUUUUCCAGUCAUUUAUACAAUAUGGAAAUUAAUGUGAAAUUAAACCACAAAUAUGUGUGAUGAACUGUUUUUAAAACUUAAACUUCAAAUAAAAAUUGUAAACUUCAAAACAUAUGCAAAUUUUUAACAAAGAACAUAGUGAUUUACCUCUAUUUACAUCAAAAUGCAGGCAAUGGCCCAGGCGUUCUUUGUAAAAUUAUUUACAAAACACUGUAUAGUCUCACAAAUGUCACUUUUUAUUUAUGCCACUACAAAAAAACAUGAUGUAAAUGAUGCAUGAUGUAAAACAUGAUGUAAAAAACUUGUGUAGAUCCUCCUCUAUGUCAGUCCAUGUGUAAUUUUUCCAUAAUUCUUUGUUUUUUGCAGCAUUUUUGUUAGUGUAACUGCAGAUUGUGCUGACUGUCUAUGGCAAAAAAAAAAAAAAACUGAAAAUGCCUCAACAUGAACCCCUGGUGGUCUCUGAGGGUGAAACCUGCUAACUGCUGCAGCUCUGUCAGCUUCUGUCUCCCAUGCAGAGCUCGGAGCGCAUGUGUGGCUCUGCACCCUUAGCAGCGUUGCUAACUCCUCAGUAAGGAAAGCCUGCUUCAUGUCAGAGUCUCUAAACUCCAGAAGAAGUCGAUAAAAGUCCCUUUCUUUCUAAAAAAAAGUCGUUAGGGGGUCUGAAAAGUCAUUGAAUCUAACAACAAAGUCGCUAGGUUUGCAACUACGUGUCCCAGACUGCAUCCCUGCUGAGAGUCCCUCCCUCCCUUCUCAUGUUGCAGGAAGAACGUAAGCGCCCGCCCCUUGUCAAUCAGUCACCAUAUAAUUUUGGAUUGGUUGUUGUGGUGAAGUUUUCCACCAAUAGGAGAGAUGUUGUGGUGUGUUUUUUUUUUCUUUUGGCAAGCCUUUUCCGCCUGUAUGACCUGUCACUAAUGUGUGCAUGCAAUGUUUUCCUGUCUCAUACAGCACGAUCGAGCGCCGAACGUGAUCAAAAUAAGCAGAAAAAAAGUAUCGCGGACAUAAUUUAUCAUAACUCUGGUUUUAUUUGGCCUAUCAACACAAUUUAAAAACUGGUAUAUAGGUUGAGGUCCUCACUUUUGAGAUAAGUUGAAACGGAGAGUUAACGAGGCUCCGUCUUGCAGCUACAUCCGGUUAAAUAUGUCAUGUGACUUGAACGCUGGGGAGCGUCAAUCGAAUCGAAUCAAACCUAACUCUCAGAUGAAUCUUCAAAAUUCACCUCAGAAAUAUGCUUAUUAUUCUUCUCAGAGUACUGCAGGAUACACACACACACACACACACAGACACACACACACACACACGCACACACACACACACACACACACACACUCAGAGUCUGUUUUUUAGCACCUGCAAAAACAUGCUAUUUACAUAUUUGACAAGAAUGCGGAGGCUUCCUUUUGCCCCUGAAAAAAAUCAGAUUUCAAACACAACUUGACUGGUCAUUUCUCCAAAAGACAACCAUGAAGCUCCAUCCAAACCUGAAGCAGGCAGUUGGUGCAUGUGUACAGUAACCUGAGGGGAGUGAGGUGACUGCUUCUGAGGAGAACAUGAGCACUGAAGAUUCACCUUGGAGCUAGAACAGGGACGUGCACAUGAUAAUACAGGGGCAGGGGCUCAAGUUUUUUCCAGUCGUUUAUACAAUAUGGAAAUUAAUGUGAAAUUAAAAAACAAAGUAUGACUGUCCUGUGUAGGUGACAGUGAUAUCCAAUAGGCUAGGCACUCACGAGGCUGGCUGUGGCAAGUGUAAGUGAAAGCAACACGCACUGGCAGGAAGAACAGCAAACGCCGAUGAAGGAAAAGGGUCUUUGCAGUGAUGGGCGUUACCAGAGAGGGCGAUGGCCAGAGGACACGAAUGGGACGGGGAGGCAGCGCGUUGGGGGGGGGGGUGCGACACGGCUCGGGCCCGCCAGUGCCCCAACGGGGCCCUAGUUAGGGCCCGAGCGUAGCUGCUAAGCAGCUGCGAGAGCCCUCUUGUUCCUGCAUGUUUCCUUCUUUCGUUAUUAUUUUUCCUCCGCUUUAAACUGGAAAAUGGCCCACUUCCCACUGGCGAAAACUCAUGAAAUUUGGCAGGACGACCGGGCCUGGUGAAAAAUUCGAUAUUCUGAAGUCGCCCAAACAAUAAAAUGCAAAAUGGCUCAAUAGCGCCCCCUAAGGUGAAAAUUCACAUGACGGCUGUACGCUUUGUCAAAAUGACACAAAAAUUGACACACACAUGUAUCUCAAUAAGAUCUACAAAAAAGUCAGUGCGGGCGUAUCUGUCAAAUGUACGGUUAAAGGGUUAUUUCGCAUUUUUUGCAGAUCUGCACACAUUGGAAUUUCGCUAACUCCUCCGAAGGCUUUCGUUCCACCGGCACCACAUUUGCGCAGGCCAAUCUAACCCCCAUGGCCAUUCAAAGUUGUACAAAUCAUCUUGCUGCACCCCACAGUUUAGGUUCUAGGGGGCGCCAAAGAUAACCCAAAAAUCCACAGUGUUAAAAGUCUUAUAACUUUUAAUUUUUUUCCAAACUGGCCUCCAAGUUUUCUACGAUGAUGCAAUGUCCAGCCAUCAGCACAUCUGUGAAGAAAUUUUUACUCCCCAAAAGAGCGCCCCCCUAUGGCAGGAGAAAAAAGUCAAUUUUUUCUUGUCACGUAAGGUGAAAAUACACAUUUUUUAGUGUCACCCCUGUACCCUUUGUCAUAUUGACACAAAAUUUGACAAUAACGUGUAUCUCAAUAAGAUCUACGAAAAAGUCAAAGGGCACAUAUCUUUCAAAUGUACGGUUAAAGGGCUAUUUUGCAUUUUUUGCCGAUUCGCACACAUUGGAAUUUCGCUAACUCCUCCGAAGGCUAUCUUUCUACCGGCACCAAAUUUGCUCAGGCCAAUCUACACCCCAUGGCCAUUAAAAGUUGUACAAAUCAUGACGCUGCACCCCACGGUUUACGUUCUAGGGGGCGCCAAAGAUAACCCACAAAUCCACAUUCUUAAAAAUCUUAUAACUUUUUAUUUUUGUCCUCAUUGGCCUCCAAGUUUUCUAGGAUGAUGCAAUGUCCAGCCAUCAACACAUUUGUGAAGGAAUUUUUACUCCCCAAAACAGCGCCCCCCCCAUGGCAGGACAAAAAAGGCCAUUUUUUCUUGUCCCCUAAGGUGAAAAUACACAUUGUUCAGUGUCACGCCUAUACGCUUUGUCAUAUUGACACAAAAUUUGACACACACGUGUAUCUCAAUAAGAUCUACGAAAAAGUCAAUGGGCACAUAUCUGUAAAAUGUACGGUUAAAGGGCUAUCUUGCAUUUUUUGCCGAUUCGCACACAUUGGAAUGUGGCUAACUCCUCCUAAGGCUUUCGUUCUACUGACACCACAUUUGCUCAGGCCAAUCUACACCCCAUGGCCAUUCAAAGUUGUACAAAUCAUGACGCUGCACCCCACGGUUUAGGUUCUAGGGGGCGCCAAAGAUGACCCAAAUAUCCACAUUUUUAAAAGUCUUAUAACUUUUUAUUUUUGUCCUCACUGGCCUCCAAGUUUUCUAGGAUGAUGCAAUGUGCAGCCAUCAACACAUCUGUGAAGGAAUUUUUCUCCCCAAAAGAGCGCCCCCCCCCCCCCCCAUGGCAGGAGAAAAAGUCAAGUUUUUCCAGCCCAUCGCUUAAUGGCUCAAACGCAUUGCUCUCCCGCUAAAACCAAAAGGAGGAGCAACUUGCCAUUUGGAUAUGUCCUAGCUGUGUUUGUGCCCUCACUCAUGGUCCAGAGUUUUUUCAAAUAGGACAUGUAGUUUGUCUGCAGCGAGCGUUUUGGUAGAAACUGUGCCUCCCAUUCAUUAUAAUGGGAAAUGACCAAAGACAGGUGCGCACACCAUCUUUGGACCUUGACUUUGACGUCACAGUUUGAGAUACAAAUGUUAUUUGACCUCUGACCUUUGGUGGACACCCUAACCUUUCAACCCGCGAAAACGGCGUUUCAAUAGCUCUUACGGCUUUCCUACAAAUACACUUUGUUCAGCUACUCCUACUGUCCUUUAAGCUCUGCUUCUCAGAUCAUCAAAGAGUGUGCACGUGUGUAAUGAGCGCAUAUUGAAUGUUAAUUAUGUUAAAUAUGUUAAUUAUUAGAAGAAAAAACAACAACAGUCCUUUUGGACAACAUUUCUUUUUAUUACAGAAUUAGAAUAAUGGAAGCAUAGUCCAAGGAAACCAUUCAAGUGAUGUCAUACCUCAUAAUUUAUUGAGAUGUUGGCUAGUCUGGGCAUUUCUUCAUUCAUCAGGUUUCCUGCAUGCAUACUAACAGAGCACAUCAGUAGCAGUGAGUGAUAAGUAUGAGUGUGUCAUUGUGUAAGAAAGAAAGUGGUUUACUUACACAUCCAUACAAAAUAGGUGGUUGAGCACAGCACGCAAACAAAGCUUUGCCACAACGGUUGAACUUCCCAAGUAGCUGAUACCAAGGUCACACAAUCAUGGUGAGCAAAGGUCAAACCAGGCCAGGCCAGGCACUCACGAGGCUGGCUGUGGCAAGUGUAAGUGAAAGCAACACGCAAUGGCAGGAAGAACAGCAAACACCGAUGAAGGAAAAGGGUCUUUGCAGUGAUGGGCGUCACCAGAGAGGGCGAUGGCCAGAGGGCACGAAUGGGACGGGGAGGCGGUCGCGCUGGGGGCGGCGCGACGCGGCUCGGGCCCGCCAGUGCCCCAACGGGGCCCUAGUCUUUGUUUCUUUAGGGCCCGAGCCAGCUGCAGAGCAGCCGGGCGUAGGCCCUAUUAUUCCCCAAGUGGUUUUUCUUUGUUUCUUUCUUUCUUAGGGCCCGAGCGUAGCUGCUAAGCAGCUGCGAGAGCCCUAUUAUUCCCCAAGUGGUUUUUCUUUGUUUCUUUCUUUCUUUCUUUCUUUCUUUCUUCUUUUUCCUCCCCUUUGAACUGGAAAAUGGCCCACUUCCCACUGGCGAAAACUCAUGAAAAUUGGCAGGACGACCGGGCCUGGUGAAAAAUUCGAUAUUCUGAAGUCGCCCAAACAAUAAAAUGCAAAAUGGCUCCAUAGCGCCCCCUAAGGUGGAAAUUCACACUAUUGACUGUCACGCCUGUACGCUUUGUCAUAUUGACACAAAAAUUGACACACAUAUGUAUCUCAAUAAGAUCUACAAAAAAGUCAGUGCGGCCGUAUCUGUCAAAAUUACGGUUAAAGGGUUAUUUCGCAUUUUUUUCCGAUCCGCACACAUUGGAAUUUCGCUAACUCCUCCGAAGGCUUUCGUUCCACCGGCACCACAUUUGCUCAGGCCAAUCUACACCCCGUGGCCAUUAAAAGUUAUCAAAAUCAUGACGCUGCACCCCAAGGUUUAGGUUCUAGGGGGCGCCAAAGAUAACACUAAAAUCCACAUAUUUAAAAGUCUUAUAACUUUUUAUUUUUGUCCUCACUGGCCUCCAAGUUUUCUAGGAUGAUGCAAUGUCCAGCCAUCAACACAUUUGUGAAGGAAUUUUUACUCCCCAAAAGAGCGCCCCCCCAUGGCAGGAGAAAAAAGUCCAUUUUUUCUUGUCCCCUAAGGUGAAAAUACACAUUGUUGAGUGUCACGCCUAUACGCUUUGUCAAAAUGACACAAAAAUUGACACACACAUGUAACUCAAUAAGAUCUACGAAAAAGUCAAUGCGCGCGUAUCUGUCAAAUGUACGGUUAAAGGGUUAUUCCGCAUUUUUUGCCGAUCCGCACACAUUGGAAUGUGGCUAACUCCUCCUAAGGCUUUCGUUCCACCGGCACCACAUUUGCUCAGGCCAAUCUACACCCCAUGGCCAUUAAAAGUUAUCAAAAUCAUAACGCUGCACCCCACGGUUUAGGUUCUAGGGGGCGCCAAAGAUAACCCUAAAAUCCACAUAUUUAAAAGUCUUAUAACUUUUUAUUUUUGUCCUCACUGGCCUCCAAGUUUUCUAGGAUGAUGCAAUGUCCAGCCAUCAACACAUUUGUGAAGGAAUUUUUACUCCCCAAAAGAGCGCCCCCCAUGGCAGGAGAAAAAAGUCCAUUUUUUCUUGUCCCUUAAGGUGAAAAUACAUAUUGUUGAGAUUCACGCCUAUACGCUUUGUCAUAUUGACACAAAAUUUGACAAUCACGUGCCUUGCCUGGUAUCAUUUUUUUCAGCACAACCUCACCUGUGCGAAUUUGCAGUUAUUUUAUCAUGUUGACAUACUGAAUUUACACAAUGGACCCAAAUUCACACACAAAACAUAAAAUCCGAGUGGAAAAAAGUAACAUUUUUACUGUGAAAACCACAAAUAUGUGUGAUGAACUGUUUUCAAAACUUAAACUUCAAAUAAAAAUUGUAAACUUCAAAACAUAUGCAAAUUUUUAACAAAGAACAUAGUGAUUUACCUCUAUUUACAUCAAAAUGCAGGCAAUGGCCCAGGCGUUCUUUGUAAAAUUAUUUACAAAACACUGUAUAGUCUCACAAAUGUCACUUUUUAUUUAUGCCACUACAAAAAAACAUGAUGUAAAUGAUGCAUGAUGUAAAACAUGAUGUAAAAAACUUGUGUAGAUCCUCCUCUAUGUCAGUCCAUGUGUAAUUUUUCCAUAAUUCUUUGUUUUUUGCAGCAUUUUUGUUAGUGUAACUGCAGAUUGUGCUGACAGUGUCUAUGGCACAAAAAAAAGAAAAAAUUAAAAUGCCUCAACAUGAACCCCUGGUGGUCUCUGAGGGUGAAACCUGCUAACUGCUGCAGCUCUGUCAGCUUCAGUCUCCCAUGCAGAGCUCUGAGCGCAUGUGUGGCUCUGCACCCUUAGCAGCGUUGCUAACUCCUCAGUAAGGAAAGCCUGCUUCAUGUCAGAGUCUCUAAACUCCAGAAGAAGUAGAUAAAAGUCCCUUUCUUUCUAAAAAAAAGUCGUUAGGGGGUCUGAAAAGUCAUUGAAUCUAACAACAAAGUCGCUAGGUUUGCAACUACGUGUCCCAGACUGCAUCCCUGCUGAGAGUCCCUCCCUCCCUUCUCAUGUUGCAGGAAGAACGUAAGCGCCCGCCCCUUGUCAAUCAGUCACCAUAUAAUUUUGGAUUGGUUGUUGUGGUGAAGUUUUCCACCAAUAGGAGAGAUGUUGUGGUGUGUUUUUUUUUUCUUUUGGCAAGCCUUUUCCGCCUGUAAGACCUGUCGCUAAUGUCUGCAUGCUAUGUUUUCCUGUCUCAUACAGCGCGAUCGAGCGCCGAACGUGAUCAAAAUAAGCAGAAAAAAAGUAUCGCGGACAUAAUUUAUCAUAACUCUGGUUUUAUUUGGCCUAUCAACACAAUUUAAAAACUGGUAUAUAGGUUGAGGUCCUCACUUUUGAAAUAAGUUGAAACGGAGAGUCAACGAGGCUCCGUCUUGCAGCUACAUCCGGUUAAAUAUGUCAUGUGACUUGAACGCACACACAGACACACACACACGCACACACACACACACACACACACACACACACACACACACACUCAGAGUCUGGUUUUUAGCACCUGCAAAAACAUGCUAUUUACAUAUUUGACAAGAAUGCAGAGGCUCCUUUUGCCCCUGAAAAAAAAUCAAAUUUCAAACACAACUUGACUGGUCAUUUCUCCAAAAGACAACCAUGAAGCUCCAUCCAAACCUGAAGCAGGCAGUUGGUGCAUGUGUACAGUAACCUGAGGGGAGUGAGGUGAGUGCUUCUGAGGAGAACAUGAGCAGUGAAGAUUCACCUUGGAGCUAGAACAGAGACAUGCACAUGAUUAUACAGGGGCAGGGGCUCAAGUUUUUUCCAGUCGUUUAUACAAUAUGGAAAUUAAUGUGAAAUUAAAACACAAAGUAUUAAUAGAAAGGUAAUGACUGUCCUGUGUAGGUGACAGUGAUAUCCAAUAGGCUAGGCACUCACGAGGCUGGCUGUGGCAAGUGUAAGUGAAAGCAACACGCACUGGCAGGAAGAACAGCAAACGCUGAUGAAGGAAAAGGGUCUUUGCAGUGAUGGGCGUUACCAGAGAGGGCGAUGGCCAGAGGACACAAAUGGGACGGGGAGGCAGCACGUUGGGGGGGGGGACGCGACACGGCUCGGGCCCGCCAGUGCCCCAACGGGGUCCUAGUUU